rnacentral:sRNA from 1 species
UGGAGAUGAUGAAUGAGAUGUUGAUCUUU